CGAGCUGAAAUGUGCUCUCACUUUUGUGGCUGCUAACUGUACACA
rnacentral:snoRNA from 1 species